rnacentral:rRNA from 1 species
GACGAACGCUGGCGGCGUGCCUAAUACAUGCAAGUCGAACGAGUGGCGGACGGGUGAGUAAUGUCUGGGAAACUGCCUGAGGGCGGGGGAUAACUAAUGGAAACGGUAGAUAAUACCGCAUACCAUCAGAUGUGCCCAGAUGGGCUUAGCUUGUUGGUGGGGUAACGGCUUACCAAGGCGACGAUCCCUAGCUGGUCUGAGAGGAUGACCAGCCACACUGGAACUGAGAAACGGUCCAUACGCCUACGGGAGGCAGCAGUGGGGAAGAUUGCACAAUGGGCGCAAGCCUGAUGCAGCCAUGCCGCGUGUAUGAAGAAGGCCUUCGGGUUGUAAAGUACUUUCAGCGGGGAGGCGUUACCCGCAGAAGAAGCACCGGCUAACUCCGUGCCAGCAGCCGCGGUAAUUC